rnacentral:lncRNA from 1 species
ACUUCUGACUAGGACUCAGAGCUCAGGGUUGGAACUGGGGGCUGCAUGUGGCCUGCAGCAUGUGUGGGGGCUUCACAAGCCCAUUUCUGCUAGGUGUGCUGGGGGCAGCAUCACACAGAAGCAGUGUGGCCGUUCUGUCUCAGGAGAGAGCCCACGACGCUUAUGUGUUCCAUAUUUGGUUGUCUGAGGAAGUCCCAUUUUGGAGACUGGUCCUGGAGCUGUGCCAUAGCUCUCACGACUUAUUGAUCUCUGGAGGUCAAACAUGGUGUUUUGAUUAGCCACCGACUGCAUUUCCCCUACUCUGUCGCUUCUGUGGGGAAAGCCAACAUUUGAGAGCAGAACAUUAUGGAGCAAUACGCCCUAUUUGAAUGAGGGAGGCAUGAACACCAUUCUGGAGGAAGAGCAAGCCGCAGGACCUUCCUGGUCUGCUGUCCCCAGUCCCCAGAGCACUGCAGCUGGGUUGACCCUUUGUUUCCCCAGAUGGAUGCACCCGCACUGAGGACACCACCAGGCCUUCCAGGGGAUUGUGUUCACUGUGAGAUUUGAGGUCUUCCAUUGUAAUCCAAUGGAAGCUUUUAUGGCAUCGGUCACUGUGCCCAGUUAGGGUGGAGACCUCGCAGGCUUGUGGCAAAAGUGUUUUCAGGUGAGUUGGGGACAGGGAACAUAGGCCUUGUACUCUGUCAGGCUCCAGUUCCUGGCCUGUCUUGGCCUGUUUUUAAUCUGGUUCUUUUGACCUCAUCCCUACAUCUGUGAAAAGGAGAUAAGGUCUGGCUUGUGAGAACACCGGCCCCAGUGUAUACACAGUGGUGUCUAAACCGGGAACAAUCGCCCUCCUGUUACCUGCCUUCAUGUUCUACAGUGUGUGUGCUGCCAGAACAGCCUCUCUGAUCAGUCUAUUGUUAAACAUAUUCCCAGUACUUAUUUGUUUUAUUGGGGAAUACCUCCCUCUCCACCCAGACAGGGUUCCUUUGUAUAGCCCUGGCUCAAUCCUCCUGCCUCUCCCUUUGGAGAGCUGGGAUCAAAGGCAUGUGCCACCACUGCCAGGCUUAAUUGGGGGAUAUACUUUGGAAUAUAUAGCAAGACCCUGAUACAUACAACACAAACCGUAAUGACCCCCGAACCAUUGACUAUGUCUUACUCCUGAAGGAAGAGGGCGCUUCCAUUCUCAGCCAGGCACUCCUCAGUUGGUAAUGUGAUGUGAAGGUUGACUGUGCGCUGGGGAUCUCUGAGGUGUCAGAGAGUGCCACGUGAGUAAGCUCUGGGCAGAUCAAGAGGAGCUGGAGAGAGUUUAAUGGGGAAGUCUUCCUUGCGGGAUUUAAGUGUAAUCACCCUCCCCUGCCACCCCUCCCCCCCAGUCUCUGGAUCCUGUGAAGCCAUUGCUUGCCGAGCUCACCUUUCUGCAUCACGUGACUGUGCUGUUUCCUCUAGGACGCGUCUACUGCAGUGGCCCAUAACCUUCCCAGUGCUGCAAACUGUGGUGGUGUUGGGGUGACUCGCAACCUUAAAACUAUGUUUGUUGCUACUGUUAUGAGUUGUAGUGUAAAUAUCUGUUAAGCAGGAUAUCUGAUAGUCAGCCCCUGUGAAAUAGUCACCCUACCUCCCCCAGGGGGGUCGAGACCCACUGAUCGAGAACCACCGGUCUACUGUGCACCCCCACCCCAGCCCCAACCUCCGCCCUCAGGCUGCUGCUGGCUUCCUGCCUCCCAUUGUUCUCUCGGUUGCUUUGUGUAUUCUUUCUUCUUGGGCUUGGGUCCCGCCUCUGAAGCUCCUUGGCUCACUGCGCGUCUCCCUUCUGGAGUCUGCUCAGUCAUCACUUGUCCCGAGCCCCCUUCCCGUGUCCUCAGCUGUCACCCUG